rnacentral:rRNA from 1 species
ACAUGCCUACAAUAUAACAUUAAUGCACCAGAUCCCAUUAAAACUCUGUAGUUAAGCACACUCGGACUAGAGUAGUACUAGGAUGCCCGGGAAGUCCUAGUAUUUUACAUGCC